rnacentral:rRNA from 1 species
UACGUAGGGUGCGAGCGUUGUCCGGAAUUACUGGGCGUAAAGAGCUCGUAGGUGGUUUGUCGCGUUGUUCGUGAAAACUCACAGCUUAACUGUGGGCGUGCGGGCGAUACGGGCAGACUGGAGUACUGCAGGGGAGACUGGAAUUCCUGGUGUAGCGGUGGAAUGCGCAGAUAUCAGGAGGAACACCGGUGGCGAAGGCGGGUCUCUGGGCAGUAACUGACGCUGGAGGA